rnacentral:rRNA from 1 species
ACGGGAGGCAGCAGUGGGGAAUAUUGGUCAAUGGGCGAGAGCCUGAACCAGCCAGGUAGCGUGAGGGAUGACUGCCCUAUGGGUUGUAAACCUCUUUUGUUCGGGAAUAAAGUGCGGGACGUGUCCCGCUUUGCAUGUACCGUUCGAAUAAGCAUCGGCUAAUUCCGUGCCAGCAGCCGCGGUAAUACGGAAGAUGCGAGCGUUAUCCGGAUUUAUUGGGUUUAAAGGGAGCGUAGGCGGUCCUUUAAGUCAGCGGUCAAAUGUCAGCGCCCAACGCUGGCCUGCCGUUGAUACUGGAGGACUUGAAUACACACAAGGAAGGUGGAAUUCGUCGUGUAGCGGUGAAAUGCUUAGAUAUGACGAAGAACUCCGAUUGCGAAGGCAGCCUUCUGGAGUGCGAUUGACGCUGAGGCUCGAAAGCGCGGGUAUCAAACAGGAUUAGAUACCCUGGUA